GGGGAAUCUUAGACAAUGGGGGCAACCCUGAUCUAGCCAUGCCGCGUGAGUGAUGAAGGCAUUAGGGUUGUAAAGCUCUUUCAGCUGUGAAGAUAAUGACGGUAGCAGCAGAAGAAGUCCCGGCUAACUCCGUGCCAGCAGCCGCGGUAAUACGGAGGGGACUAGCGUUGUUCGGAAUUACUGGGCGUAAAGCGCACGUAGGCGGAUCGGAAAGUUGGGGGUGAAAUCCCGGGGCUCAACCCCGGAACGGCCUUCAAAGCUAUCGGUCUGGAGUUCGAGAGAGGUGAGUGGAAUUCCGAGUGUAGAGGUGAAAUUCGUAGAUAUUCGGAGGAACACCAGUGGCGAAGGCGGCUCACUGGCUCGAUACUGACGCUGAGGUGCGAAAGCGUGGGGAGCAAAC
rnacentral:rRNA from 1 species